GAUGAACGCUGGCGGCGUGCCUAAUACAUGCAAGUCGAGCGAACGGACGAGAAGCUUGCUUUUCUGAUGUUAGCGGCGGACGGGUGAGUAACACGUGGAUAACCUACCUAUAAGACUGGGAUAACUUCGGGAAACCGGAGCUAAUACCGGAUAAUAUUUUGAACCGCAUGGUUCAAAAGUGAAAGACGGUCUUGCUGUCACUUAUAGAUGGAUCCGCGCUGCAUUAGCUAGUUGGUAAGGUAACGGCUUACCAAGGCAACGAUGCAUAGCCGACCUGAGAGGGUGAUCGGCCACACUGGAACCGAGACACGGUCCAGACUCCUACGGGAGGCAGCAGUAGGGAAUCUUCCGCAAUGGGCGAAAGCCUGACGGAGCAACGCCGCGUGAGUGAUGAAGGUCUUCGGAUCGUAAAACUCUGUUAUUAGGGAAGAACAUAUGUGUAAGUAACUGUGCACAUCUUGACGGUACCUAAUCAGAAAGCCACGGCUAACUACGUG
rnacentral:rRNA from 1 species